AUUGAACGCUGGCGGCAUGCCUAACACAUGCAAGUCGAACGGUAACAGCAAUUUUCUUCGGAGGAUUGGCUGACGAGUGGCGGACGGGUGAGUAACACGUAGGAAUAUUUCUAGUUGCGGGGGAUAACUCGGGGAAACUCGAGCUAAUACCGCGUAAGCCCUUCGGGGGAAAGGAUGGGAUCUUCGGACCAUUCGCGAUUGGAGUAGCCUGCGCAAGAUUAGCUAGUUGGUAGGGUAAAGGCCUACCAAGGCUGUGAUCUUUAGCUGUUCUGAGAGGAAGAUCAGCCACACUGGGACUGAGACACGGCCCAG
rnacentral:rRNA from 1 species